AUUUUGAAGCCAAUUUUCUGUU
rnacentral:miRNA from 1 species